GACUUAGGGCAUGAUCCAGAGCUCAUUGUAGUCAAUGGGAGUAUUUUUCCAUUGACUUCAGUGGGGUUUGGAUCAGGCCUUUUCUUC
rnacentral:pre_miRNA from 1 species